CUCUAAUUAACCCAUUUAGCCUUCUUCGUUCUUUCAGAAAACCCUUUUUCCAGUGGUCGGUCUUCGACAAAGAGGUCUUUGGCAAAGCUUCCUGGGAAAUUUCUCUGGCAAAAUAACAUCUUUCUGGUGAAUGAGGAACUUUCCUGUGGUAAUCUUUGACAACAACUUCUCAUACAAUGUGAAGCUCCAGUGGUCUUUUGCAUAUAAAGCUGAAGGCCUUCCUACUCAAAAUAAAAGAGGUAGAACGCAAAUGCCUAAAGUAUAUACCCGAAAAGAGCGUAAAUUGAUCCAGCUAAACAGCAAGAAUCAACCUGUUGGUCCUACUGAUGAUGUUGUAACAAAGUUAAGUAGCUUUUUUAGGCACAUUGGCAAGAACUGCGACCCUUUGCCCAUUUGAUAUACUUGAUUGGAGGAGCAUGGACACUAAAAAUGAUUUAUGGGAGUAUACCAAGGAGAAAUACAUUAUUCCUGAAGCUGCAAAAAAAAUGGACUUUGGUAACAAUUCGAGAUGCUUGGAGAAGGCAUAGAAGUGAGUUGAAGACAAAUUAUUAUGACCCAUAUGAAAAUGAUGAAGUUCGAAUGGCAAAAAAAUCGGGUCAUAUUCCAGAAUGUCAGUUUAGAGAGCUCCUCAAAUAUUGGAAGUAUGAGAAAUUCAAGAUAUGCUUUUAAGGCUGAAAUGGAAGAAAUUGAAGUACAAAUGAGCGCAAAUGGUCAGUUUAUCGAUGCAUUUUCAACCGUCAUCGAUCCUGAACCUCUGGGACGUCUCAGACUAUAUGGAGCGGGGGUUACAAAGACUAUUUUAAAAACAAAAAUUGACAAUUCUGGACCAACUUUAAAUGCAACAAAUGAUGUAGUGCAACAAAUGGAAGAAAGGAUGCAAAAAGUGGAGAAAAAAAUGGAGGAACAAAAGAAAACUAUGCGACAAGAAGUUAUGGCAGAUGUAAUUUCACAACUUCAGCAAGCAGGAUUAAUUGAUCCUAACAUACUAGCAGCGUUCUGUCCUUUCACCAAGAGAAGCUACUUCUGCAGAAGCACAAGCUCCUUUGUGUCUCUCUUGCCACUCUAGUUCCUUUCUCUAUUAGAACUCUAUUUUCUCUUUGUUCAGUUUUCUGUAGCGACUAUUAUUUCUUGCUCUUCUUUAUUUUUCUAUUGGACUGUUGUAGCAUUUACGUGAUAAAGGAUUGUUGGGUGCUCUUAAUAAGAUCUCAAAAAUAUCUCUUCUCAA